AUUGAACGCUGGCGGCAUGCCUUACACAUGCAAGUCGAACGGUAACGGGCCUUCGAGUGCCGACGAGUGGCGAACGGGGGAGUAAUACAUCGGAACGUGCCCGAUCGUGGGGGAUAACGAGGCGAAAGCUUUGCUAAUACCGCAUACGAUCUACGGAUGAAAGCAGGGGACCGCAAGGCCUUGCGCGGGCGGAGCGGCCGAUGGCAGAUUAGGUAGUUGGUGGGAUAAAAGCUUACCAAGCCGACGAUCUGUAGCUGGUCUGAGAGGAUGAUCAGCCACACUGGGACUGAGACACGGCCCAGACUCCUACGGGAGGCAGCAGUGGGGAAUUUUGGACAAUGGGCGCAGGCCUGAUCCAGCCAUGCCGCGUGCAGGAUGAAGGCCUUCGGGUUGUAAACUGCUUUUGUACGGAACGAAAAGCCUUCUUUUAAUACAGGAGGGUCAUGACGGUACCGUAAGAAUAAGCACCGGCUAACUACGUG
rnacentral:rRNA from 1 species